GAUGAACGCUAGCUACAGGCUUAACACAUGCAAGUCGAGGGACCGGCGCACGGGUGAGUAACACGUAUCCAACCUGCCCUUUACUCGGGGAUAGCCUUUCGAAAGAAAGAUUAAUACCCGAUAUAAAGGAUGGGGAUGCGUUCCAUUAGGUUGUUGGUGAGGAAACGGCCCACCAAGCCUUCGAUGGAUAGGGGUUCUGAGAGGAAGGUCCCCCACGUUAGAACUGAGACACGGUCCAAACUCCUACGGGAGGCAGCAAUGGAUAAUAAUGGUAAAUGGGCGCUAACCUGAACCAGCCAAGUGGCGUAAAGAAUGAAGGCUUAUGGGUCGUAAACUUCUUUUAUAUAAGAAUAUGUAUUAUAUUAAUAAGGAUCGGCUAACUCCGUACCAGCCGCCGCGGUAAUUC
rnacentral:rRNA from 1 species